rnacentral:lncRNA from 1 species
GGGGAGCUGCCUUGUUCCAUGACCUGCCUGUCAUCUGUUGUAUUCUCCCUGUAGGGGCUGCCUGGCCUGCGGGGGGAGCAGGGCCCUCCAGGAGCUCUUGGCCCCACUGGACCACCAGGCCUGCCUGGGAAAUCUGGAGAUGAUGGAAAACCUGGUCUGAAUGGGAAGAAUGGAGAAGACGGGACCCCAGGAGAAGAUGGAAGGAAGGGGGACAAGGGAGAAGCUGGUGCUCCUGGCAGAGAUGGUCAUGAGGGCACCAAGGGUGAUCGAGGAGGCAGUGGGGCACCCGGCCCCCCAGGACCACCUGGCCUCCCUGGCAUACCAGGGCAUGUUGGAUCCCCAGGCCAGGUACCUAACCCCAGGCAAACCCUCUCAACAGCACAAGCCAGAGGCCCAGGCGUUCAGGGGACCUGUGUGGGACAGAUGGGACC